rnacentral:rRNA from 1 species
CCAGACUCCUACGGGAGGCAGCAGUGGGGAAUCUUGCGCAAUGGGCGGAAGCCUGACGCAGCGACGCCGCGUGCGGGACGAAGGCCUUCGGGUCGUAAACCGCUUUCAGCAGGGACGAGGCCCUCACGGUGACGGUACCUGCAGAAGAAGCCCCGGCUAACUACGUGCCAGCAGCCGCGGUAAUACGGAGGAUGCGAGCGUUAUCCGGAUUUAUUGGGUUUAAAGGGUGCGUAGGCGGUCCGGAAAGUCAGGGGUAAAAGCCGGGGGCUCACCCCCGGCGAGCCGUUGAAACUGUCGGACUAGAGACGGCGAGAAGUACGCGGAAUGCGCGGUGUAGCGGUGAAAUGCAUAGAUAUCGCGCAGAACUCCGAUUGCGAAGGCAGCGUACCGGCGCCGGACUGACGCUGAGGCACGAAAGCGUGGGUAUCGAACAGGAUUAGAUACCCUAGUA